rnacentral:rRNA from 1 species
UGGGGAAUAUUGCACAAUGGGCGCAAGCCUGAUGCAGCCAUGCCGCGUGUAUGAAGAAGGCCUUCGGGUUGUAAAGUACUUUCAGCGAGGAGGAAGGCGGUAAGGUUAAUAACCUUAUCGAUUGACGUUACUCGCAGAAGAAGCACCGGCUAACUCCGUGCCAGCAGCCGCGGUAAUACGGAGGGUGCAAGCGUUAAUCGGAAUUACUGGGCGUAAAGCGCACGCAGGCGGUGUGUCAAGUCGGAUGUGAAAUCCCCGGGCUCAACCUGGGAACUGCAUUCGAAACUGGCAGGCUAGAGUCUUGUAGAGGGGGGUAGAAUUCCAGGUGUAGCGGUGAAAUGCGUAGAGAUCUGGAGGAAUACCGGUGGCGAAGGCG